AGAGUUUGAUCAUGGCUCAGAAUCAACGCUGGCGGCGCGCCUAACACAUGCAAGUCGCACGAGAAAGCGGGAGCAAUCUCGCAAGUACAGUGGCGUACGGGUGAGUAACACGUGGAUCAUCUACCCUGGAGUGGGGAAUAACGCUGGGAAACCGGCGCUAAUACCGCAUAUUCCCGAGAGGGGAAAGCAGCAAUGCGCUCGAGGAGGAGUCCGCGGCCGAUUAGCUAGUUGGUAGGGUAAAAGCCUACCAAGGCUGUGAUCGGUAGCCGGCCUGAGAGGGCACACGGCCACACUGGCACUGAAACACGGGCCAGACUCCUACGGGAGGCAGCAGUGGGGAAUCUUGCACAAUGGGGGAAACCCUGAUGCAGCGACGCCGCGUGAGCGAUGAAGCCCUUCGGGGUGUAAAGCUCUUUCGGCAGGGAAGAUUAUGACGGUACCUGCAGAAGCAGCUGCGGCUAACUACGUGCCAGCAGCCGCGGUAAUACGUAGGCAGCAAGCGUUGUUCGGAGUUACUGGGCGUAAAGGGUGUGUAGGCGGCCUGUUAAGUUCCGUGUGAAAUCUCCCGGCUCAACCGGGAGGGUGCGCGGAAAACUGGCGGGCUAGAGUGCGGGAUGGGAGAGUAGAAUUCCUGGUGUAGCGGUGAAAUGCGUAGAUAUCAGGAGGAAUACCGGUGGUGUAGACGGCUCUCUGGACCGCAACUGACGCUGAAACACGAAAGCGUGGGUAGCAAACAGGAUUAGAUACCCUAGUAGUCC
rnacentral:rRNA from 1 species